rnacentral:rRNA from 1 species
UACGGAGGGUGCGAGCGUUGUUCGGAAUCAUUGGGCGUAAAGCGCGCGCAGGCGGCUUGGGAAGUCUAUGGGUGAAAUGCCGGGGCUCAACCCUGAGCGUGCCCAAGAUACUUUCAGGCUGGAGACACGUAGAGGCAAGCGGAAUUCCGGGUGUAGCGGUGGAAUGCGUAGAGAUCCGGAAGAACACCGGAGGCGAAGGCGGCUUGCUGGGCGUGAUCUGACGCUGAGGCGCGAAAGCGUGGGGAGCGAACAGG